GGUGGCUCAGUGGUAGAGUGCUUGCCUAGCAUGCAUGAAGCCCUGGGUUCAAUUCCUCAGUACCG
rnacentral:tRNA from 1 species